rnacentral:lncRNA from 1 species
UUGGAAGAUAAGAUAGGUCUCGAGGGCUUUGUCGGCUGUAGUCUUCGCUUCUUUGUAGGUUUCUUGGAUGGCAAGGUAGGUCUCUUGGGCCUUGUCGGCUGUAGUCUGCGCUUCUUUGUAGGUUUCUUGCAUGGCAAGGUAGGACUCUUGGGCCUUGUCGCCUGUAGUUUUCGCUUCUUUGUAGGUUUCUUGCAUGGCAAGGUAGGACUCUUGGGCCUUGUCGCCUGUAGUUUUCGCUUCUUUGUAGGUUUCUUGCAUGGCAAGGUAGGACUCUUGGGCCUUCACCUUCUCCACUUCCUUGUGCACAUCACCUUCAUCUUAAGUUAAUCAGAGACGGCAUACAUUAGCAUAUACGAAAUU